GGGGGGGGGGGGGGGGGGGCGUGGCGGGGGGGGGGCGGGCGGGGGGGCCCUGGUGGCGGGGUACUCGAGUGGCGAGCGGGGGAGGAACACGUGGGGGGUCUGCCCUGCACGGCGGGAGGAGCCUGGGAAACUGGGUCUAAUACCGGGUCGGCGCCAUUGUUGGUGUGAGGGUUGGACAGUUUUUUCGGUGUAGGAUGAGCUCGCGGCCUAUCAGCUUGUUGGGGGGGGAAUGGCCUACCAAGGCGGCGACGGGUAGCCGGCCUGAGAGGGUGGACGGCCACAUUGGGACUGAGAUACGGCCCAGACUCCUACGGGAGGCAGCAGUGGGGAAUAUUGCACAAUGGGCGCAAGCCUGAUGCAGCGACGCCGCGUGGGGGAUGACGGCCUUCGGGUUGUAAACCCCUUUCGCUAGGGACGAAGCUUUUUGUGACGGUACCUAGAUAAGAAGCACCGGCUAACUACGUG
rnacentral:rRNA from 1 species